rnacentral:rRNA from 1 species
GACGAACGCUGGCGGCGUGCUUAACACAUGCAAGUCGAACGGAAAGGCCCUGCUUUUGUGGGGUGCUCGAGUGGCGAACGGGUAAGUAACACGUGAGUAACCUGCCCUUGACUUUGGGAUAACUUCAGGAAACUGGGGCUAAUACCGGAUAGGAGCUCCUGCUGCAUGGUGGGGGUUGGAAAGUUUCGGCGGUUGGGGAUGGACUCGCGGCUUAUCAGCUUGUUGGUGGGGUAGUGGCUUACCAAGGCUUUGACGGGUAGCCGGCUUGAGAGGGUGACCGGCCACAUUGGGACUGAGAUACGGCCCAGACUCCUACGGGAGGCAGCAGUGGGGAAUAUUGCACAAUGGGCGGAAGCCUGAUGCAGCAACGCCGCGUGCGGGAUGACGGCCUUCGGGUUGUAAACCGCUUUCGCCUGUGACGAAGCGUGAGUGACGGUAAUGGGUAAAGAAGCACCGGCUAACUACGUG